CUGCCCUGUUCUGCUCCCCACACUCAAGGGUCUGCCUCCAAAGCUGUAAGGCUGAGGUUCUUGGUUUUCAAAAACUCUUUGAAGGAGAAUGGAUUGGCUUCUUCAAGGUCUUCAAGUUUGUCACCUGAAAAAAUGAACACCACAGAGACUGUGAAAGGGCCCAACAUCCUGUGUUACCAUUACAUUUCAACUGUGACUCAAAGAACACUAUGGGUGUCCAUCUCCACUGCUCUUCUGGGUUCCAGCCAAAAUCUGCAAAAAGACGUGGUCAGCUCACCGUGAUCACAGCAAGCCUUAUGACUGCAGCGUCUGUCCAGGGAGGUGAAGACCGCAGCCGCCUGACUCCCACUUACAGCCUCCGGUCUGGGACUAGAAGGCUGUCUUCCGAGGCUGGACGCGGUAAACUACACACUCCUGCGCGCUCUGAGAGCAGCAGCAGGUGGAACGCAGACCCACUAGGUCCAGCCCCUGGCCUUGCCCAAGCCGAUGGGCUCAAGUGGCCUCCGAGCUCCACCGGGCACUACCUUCCUGCCUUGGGGCGGGCGGGCGGGCUGUGGGGAGGGCUCCCCGCGCUGCCCAGCUCCGCACUGUGGCCGGCGCCCCGACUCUCACCUGUGUCUCCUACCGAAGCCAGCACCGGGCUGGGCACAUAGCACAUAAACGUCGGCCGAAAGCCGAAGAGAUGGGGGUGCAGGUCCCCGCCAUGGGGGUGUUC
rnacentral:lncRNA from 1 species